rnacentral:ncRNA from 1 species
ACUGACAGAGCCAGCGAGUAUUUUUCCUUGCCCGGAAGGGUUGGGUAAUCUUGUGAAACUUUGUCGUGCUGGGGAUAGAGCAUUGCAAUUAUUGCUCUUGAAC